rnacentral:rRNA from 1 species
GGUGAUUAUAGCGAAGGAGUCACACCUGUUCCCAUCUCGAACACAGUAGUUAAGCCCUUCUGCGCCGAUGGUACUUAGUAUUCUUUUCUUGGGAGAGUAGGUCGUUGCCG